rnacentral:lncRNA from 1 species
AGCAGUAUUCUCCAUGAAAUACUAGGCACAGGAAUAAAUCAAUUAGACAGUUUUUUUUUCUGCCUAACGGACAAGUCUAAAAUUAACAAUCUUGGCAACACAACAUUGUAACUGAUAUGCUUCUUAAUAUUUAAGAGCCUUAAUUGCAGAAGUCAUGAAGCAGUGUUUAUGUUUGUGUCUCUGACAAGCAGUUACAGUUCUUGACAGAUUUCUUCUAUGCUGCGUGCUCUGCUUUCCAGCUGGUCAUGAGUAGCAUGUGCAUUACUGACUGGACUGGCCAUCUUCAUUUCGAUCAGCAAGAAAUCUCAGUCAUGUUCAAUAUCUUCUGUAUUCAUUGUUUCUACAUCUGGAGCAUCACGCAUCUCUUCAUCUUCUUCCUCCUCCUCUUCAUCCUCACCAUGUAGUUCUUUUGCAAUUAGCUGUCUUGCAAGUUUGAUGUUUCGUCCUUCAUUGUAGUGCAUUUUCCUCUUCAUUUCAAAUUGCUUCUUUUUUUCUCGUUCUUCAGGUGUUAAUUCUUCUUCCUCUUCUUCCUCCUCACUGCUUUCCUCCUGCCUCGCUAUCACCUUGGGUCCUUUACCCUCAGCUGCAGCAGCCAGCUUCUUACUCAACACAUCUGCUCUUAAGGGCUCAUUUGAUUCCGAAUCACUCACUGCAUCUUCAUCAUCAUCUCCUACCAUGCUGUGAUAAGGAGUACUUGGCUCAUCUAUUUUCAUCAGGCCAUAAUCUUUGCCCGCUGGGUGGUACGUAGCUAUGAUGUUCAUUUCAUCCCACUUCUGAGAUUUUUUACCGUGCUCGUCGUCGUCGCGGGCUGGGCUGGCCUGCCGAGCCCCGGACCCCGCGCCCCCCGCGGGCUGCUUGCCGCCGCCCUUCUUCAGGAUGCCCUUGAUGGGCGCCCGACCCGCCGUUCCCGCCGUCGAAACGGCCGGCACCGAGGGCGCCUCCAUGGCCGCGCCGCCCGACAGCUUCCGGUCCCCGCCUCGGCCCGCCCCGAGCCGCACUGCGUCAGAUCCGCCGGCGCCGGACGAGUAUCGCUCCGCCUUCUCUGUCGCGCCCCCUGGUGGUCGGAGGACUGCCGCUGUCUCGGCCUGCCUGCGGUGCUUCUGCGCGACCGCAGCGGGGCGCCGUGCGCCAACGGCGGGCUCUUGCGCGUGCACGGGGCUCCGUGCACGCGUCGGGCUCUGGCACGCGCAUGGGGCCUCGCGCACGUGCCCUGUGACUGAGGGCGUUCAGUGCCACGCGAGGAGCGGCACGCACGGCCCGUUUGUGCGGUUGCCCGGAAGAAGGGCUGCCCCGUCAUCCCAUAUCUGCCCCCAUUCCUGUCCCCAUCCGUCUCAGAACUCAGCAGGGAGAUGCCAGGCCAGGCUGGGUGAACGCUGCCUGAGGAACUGGGGAGGCUGAACCCCGAAAGAAACCAGGAAUGGGGAGAAAGGGAGUGAUCUGCCCCAAAAUGUCACCCAGUGGAAAGCGGCCGUGCAGCUGUCUGCAUCCCCACGUGUCCCCGUGGCACCCUGAGGCUGCAGGGAGGGCCUCGGCUGCGCCAUGGGACGGUGGGGGACAGCUGUGGGGUGCAGCCCAGGGCCCCCGAGGCCAGGGGCAGAGGUGGGAGGCGGGGGCCGGCCGAGCCCCCCCCAGGCCGUGGGCUGUGGGAGGGCUGCAGUGGGCUGGGGAGCG